rnacentral:rRNA from 1 species
UGGGGGGGUUACUUCCGAGGCGGCGAACGGGUGAGUACUUUUUUUGAAGUAAUCUGCCCUUCACUCUGGGAUAGCCACCGGAAAUGGUGAUUAAUACCGGAUACGACCAAUCCCUGCAUGGGGUGUUGGUGGAAACUUUUUUGGGUGGGGGAUGUGCUCGCGGCCUAUCAGCUUGUUGGUGGGGUAAUGGCCUACCAAGGCUUCGACGGGUAGCCGGCCUGAGAGGGUGACCGGCCACACUGGGACUGAGACACGGCCCAGACUCCUACGGGAGGCAGCAGUGGGGAAUAUUGGACAAUGGGCGGAAGCCUGAUCCAGCAACGCCGCGUGAGGGAUGACGGCCUUCGGGUUGUAAACCUCUUUCAGCACCGACGAAGCGCAAGUGACGGUAGGUGCAGAAGAAGGACCGGCCAACUACGU